UCCCUGUGUCUACGUCGGUUUCCUCUGAGUGCUCUGGUUUCCUUCCACAUUUAAAGACAUGCAGGUUAGGUGAUUUGGAAGCUUCAUAAUUGUCCAAGUCUGCCUUGCAAAAGAGCUCUCAAUCUCAAUGGGACUAACUUGGUUAAAUAUAGCUACGAAAAGAGCAGCAGA